rnacentral:rRNA from 1 species
AGGACGAACGCUGGCGGCGUGCCUAACACAUGCAAGUCGAACGGGGGUAGCAAUACCCCAGUGGCGAACGGGUGCGUAACACGUGAAGAACUUGUCCAUCGGCGGGGGAUAGCCGGCCCAACGGCCGGGUAAUACCGCGUACGUCGUCUGGAGCGCAUGCUCUGGCCGGGAAAGCAGCAAUGCACCGAUGGAGAGCUUCGCGGCCUAUCAGCUUGUUGGCGGGGUAACGGCCCACCAAGGCAACGACGGGUAGCUGGUCUGAGAGGAUGAUCAGCCACACUGGGAUUGAGAACGGCCCAGACUCCUACGGGGGCAGCAGUGAGGAAUUUUCCGCAAUGGACGCAAGUCUGACGGAGCAACGCCGCGUGCAGGGCGAAGGUUUUCGGAUCGUAAACUGCUUUUCUCGGGGACGAGCAAGGACGGUACCCGAGGAACGAAGCCCCGGCUAACUACGCGCCAGCAGCCGC